rnacentral:lncRNA from 1 species
UAAUUUGUUAGAAAUGUACCACAGGAUUAGAUGAAUUGACUUGGGUAUGUCUAUUCAUUAAUAUAGCUUGCUUCUUCCAUUCCGUUCUUUGAGUGAGAAAUUUUGAAAAAACAAAUGGAUGACAACUUUCUUAUUUUGUUCAAGUUGAAGAUUACUUAUAAAGAAAAGUUGUCUAUUUCAAUCUAUCCAUUUUUGUGAAUGGUGAGGAUUAGGAAAUACUAGAUAGUAAUGCCCGCACUUUGCUGCGGGAUUACAAAUUGCAUGAAUAAUUAUGUUUGAAAGACUACCAAAGUUAAAUCUAAUGAAUUGCUAAAUCAUGAGGAAAUGAAAGGUUUGCAAUUAGGUGCAAUCGAACCCAUUAGGCCAAAUGCUAAAACAAAACUGAAAAAUAUAGACCACAGUUUUUAAAUCGAUAAGAAAAUGAUUACAUUAGAAACAACCACACAUUGUUGAUUUUAGUUUGUAAAUAUGUUGUUGUUCUUAAGUCUUAACCGAGAUAUGAUUUUCAGCUGCAAACAAACUUAAUCAAUGAAUACCAAAGAAUAGAAAAAACUUGUAAUCCUUGUAUGCAACUUUGGAGAUGAUGUAAUUUUGUCAGCUACAAGGACUGAAAAUCCAUCAAACAGAAUAAAUAGUUAACUUACUUGUAAGCCUUGAGCUUUAUAUAACCUAUAAAAAAAAUAAAAAUAAAAAGGCACUGUGAAAAAUAACAGAAAAAUUAUUGAGAGUAACACAAUUUACACCAAUAAACUACCAUUGAAUUUUAAUUUUGAAGUAACUUCUCCAUAUUCUUCAAACCAUUAAAACAAUAUUAUUUACAUACAUGUGGAAAUCUGUUUAUAACCCUAGAAAGUGUUUUAACUCCUGAAGUUGAAACCAAAAUCAAAUUAAACCAAAUGUAAGAUCUGAGGCUAGAAACAAAACCCCAAAAGCCGCAAACCCGAAAUUUGAACAGAAAAAACAUGACAAAGAGCACCACAGGUAAUUUGUCCGAAUACGGUGAAUUCCACAUGCAAUAUUUGGUCGGAGAACACAUGACAAACAGUGAGCACCACGAACUUUUCAGCAAGCACCGCAUAUAUGAUUUCAUUGUAUUUAUGAACAAUUUAAAAUGGAAUGUGAUAAAGAAGUGAAACUACAUGUACCAUUAAUUUAGAGAUUGUGGUGAUGAAAAGCAGUGAGCAUCACAUUAUCUAAUCUUUAUUGCAUUCAUCUACACACUGGAUAUUCCAGGCACAUCAAGCUAACCAGU